GCAGCUUCCCUGCUGCCCAGUUCAGGGAAGGACGCGGUAAGAGGCAUUAUGAGAAGUCCCUUUUGUCUCUCACUGCAGCCCUGUGCCAAGGGGCAUAGCCGCGGGGCAGCGCUGGAAAGAAACUGGAAUGAGACUCAGCCUCCUCCUACGUGGGACUCCUCGGCGGAGCGGCAGCGUCCUGGGGCCAUGCUCGCCCUCGCCCCAUCCCGGCUGCCGCAGCCCAGCAGGUUCCAGCGGCCACAGGAGCGCUGUGGGGAGAGGAUGGGAACCUACAGGGCAGGACUCCUUGCCAGGCCCACAUGGCUGCUUCCUGAGUAAUCUGGCUGAGUCUUCCAGCAGGGUGGCCUGGCCCUUUGCCCACUCAAGGCUACUCCCCACCACUGCUCGCUCCCAGCGCCAGACAUCAGAAAACCCAGCCUGACCUGCCUCUGUUUUUGACAUUCUUCCAAUAAAUACCUGCAGCUC
rnacentral:lncRNA from 1 species